rnacentral:tmRNA from 1 species
GGGGACGUAAAGGUUUCGACGGGGAUUUUGCAGUACGAUAAGCGGGUAGAGAUGGGGAAUCUCUUAAAUAAUCCCUAUUUUAAAAAUAAACGCUAACGAUAAUUUAGCAUACGCUGCCUAA